UUUAGAGGAAGUAAAAGUCGUAACAAGGUUUCCGUAGGUGAACCUGCGGAAGGAUCAUUACCUAGAGUUGUAGGCUUUGCCUGCUAUCUCUUACCCAUGUCUUUUGAGUACUUACGUUUCCUCGGCGGGUUCGCCCGCCGAUUGGACAAUUUAAACCCUUUGCAGUUGCAAUCAGCGUCUGAAAAAACUUAAUAUUUACAACUUUCAACAACGGAUCUCUUGGUUCUGGCAUCGAUGAAGAACGCAGCGAAAUGCGAUAAGUAGUGUGAAUUGCAGAAUUCAGUGAAUCAUCGAAUCUUUGAACGCACAUUGCGCCCCUUGGUAUUCCAUGGGGCAUGCCUGUUCGAGCGUCAUUUGUACCUUCAAGCUCUGCUUGGUGUUGGGUGUUUGUCUCGCCUCUGCGCGUAGACUCGCCUUAAAACAAUUGGCAGCCGGCGUAUUGAUUUCGGAGCGCAGUACAUCUCGCGCUUUGCACUCAUAACGACGGCAUCCAAAAGUACAUCUUAACGCUUGACCUCGGAUCAGGUAGGGAUACCCGCUGAACUUAAGCAUAUCAAUAAG
rnacentral:rRNA from 1 species